rnacentral:rRNA from 1 species
ACGGGUGAGUAAAACGUAGGAAUUUGUCUUUGAGAGGGGGAUAACACGGGGAAACUCGUGCUAAUACCGCAUAACCUUGAGAGAGCAAAGUGUGGGACCGCAAGGCCACAUGCUCGAGGAGAAGCCUACGUCGGAUUAGCUAGUUGGUAGGGUAAAGGCCUACCAAGGCGAUGAUCCGUAGCUGGUCUGAGAGGACGAUCAGCCACACUGGGACUGAGACACGGCCCAGACUCCUACGGGAGGCAGCAGUGGGGAAUUUUGGACAAUGGGGGCAACCCUGAUCCAGCAAUGCCGCGUGUGUGAAGAAGGCCUGAGGGUUGUAAAGCACUUUAGGUGGGGAGAAAGGCCAUUGUGGUAAAACUGCAGUGGAUUGAUGUUACCCACAGAAUAAGCACCGGCUAACUCUGUGCCAGCAGCCGCGGUAAUACAGAGGGUGCAAGCGUUAAUCGGAAUUAUUGGGCGUAAAGCGCACGUAGGUGGCUUGUUAAGUCUGAUGUGAAAGCCCUGGGCUUAACCUGGGAAUUGCGUUGGAAACUGACAAGCUAGAGUCGGGGAGAGGGCCGUGGAAUUUCCGGUGUA